rnacentral:misc_RNA from 1 species
GCAAGUACUAAAAAUUUAAAAAGAUGAACAAUAGAAAAUCCAUUUCAAAUGACAAGGUUUGUGAAGAUGUCAAAAAUACAUCAUCUACUGAGGCUAUUUAGAAAACCUAAAGUUAUAACCAAGAAAGGAAUGCACACCAUCAACAUCACAAGAGAAUUAAACAACAAGAGCAAUUAAGAAUCCAUAGCAUUACAACUUAUGAAAAUCAUAGAUUAAUGAAAAAAAUGUGACAUAAGAUAGCAUCAAAACAAAUUUGUACAUAUGUGACAAAGGUCUGAUCAAAGAAAGUAUUAUAUAAUAGUACUUGUCCUAACCAAAAAAAAACAAAAGACUAAGCAUGAUUCUGAAAGAAUCGAUAAUAAUGUAAAAAGAUACAAAAUUGCUAGCGAUUUGACUAGAGAUAUGGACCUAAACAAAGAAUCACUAGAAAUUGCCAAUGUUUCUUAGAUAAAACAUUUGGAUAACAAGUUAGAACAGAAAAGGCAUUAUCGCAGAUACAACUAUGAAUUUUCUAGAUAGAAUCAUAGAAAAAAAUAAAAACUAAAUUAUUUUAAAAAAU